AUUUUUGUAUCAUAUGCAAGUAUGCACAUUCAUUGUAGUUUCCUUUUUAUUAGCUAUUGUUAACAAUUUGCAAUAUUUCCCUAGAUAUAGAACAGAUUUUCUUAUUAUCGUUAGAUUCCUUUGUUAAUUAAUUGACUCGUAUAUGAGCUUUUCCUGUUUACUUUUAUAGUAGAUAUCAAAUCCAUAUAAUUGCUUACAUAUACUUUCUUACAAACACUUAUGCUAUUUAUUUUUACGAUAGAUGUUAAUUUGAAGUCACUGUCGUGGACAACACUGAUUCUACAAUGGCACUUAUCGCAGAUGAACCCGCUGAAACUAUGUUGCAUCUCACCGCAGAAGAAAUCUACAAUAUUCGUUGUGUCAAGAAGGAAAUGCUACCUCUUGCAAAUGUGACAAGGCAACUAAUUGGCAAGACGUUUAACGUUCAAAUGAAGAGAUCUUUGACAAAAAAUAUGGAUGCAGCACCCGCAAAAUUAAUUCUUCUGUCCUUUAUGCAAAAAGAGAACGCUAUUGACACACAAUUGCCCCCUACCCUAAUGGACAUUCCAGAAAGCAGCAAAAGGAAUAUUGAUGAUAACCAAAAGAAAAUGAAAAUUGCUACUCGGAGAAACUAUUGAAAGAUGCGAUACUGAAGUUUUCCAAAAAGACAGAAACUACUUUUGUUGCUGCCUUAUCCUGUGACAGUUCUCAUAUCAGGUUAGCCCUUUUCUUCUUUUACUUCACGUACCUCUCCUCAAUCACAAUUUUCCUUUGAACACUACAAUUGUUUUCUUAUGGGAGCACUAACCUGGGUGAGGACAAUUUGCUUUAAGGAAGGAUUAUAUACAUUGUGGUGCAUGCAAUUUGUCAAAUGGAUCAUAUAAGCUGUUUAGAUAUGAGAUGACAUGUGAACCUCUUUUAGGUAUACAAUAUUUUAGUCACCACAACAAUUACACUGUUGCAGUUUACUAUGGUCAUAGUUGUUGUUGUUUUUUUUUUUUUUUUUUUUUUUUUUUUUUUUUUUUGUGCCGUACAAAUUGAACCCAGUUUUCUUCACUAUUUUCCUCUCCUUCAAAAUCUGUCAGGUUCAUUCCUCUUCAUUUUCAUCUCUAGCUUUAACUUCACCCUUCUUCAUCUCUGUAAUGGAUCCUUAGGGGAGGCGAACUAUAUGAGGUAACGAUUAAUACUGUACUUCGCUGGUUGUGCCCUCUGUUUCUACCAUGCUCUUUAUCUGGACUGCACAAGUAAAAAGAUUCCCUACAUUCAAUUACUUUCUUAGAUAUAGCAUAAUCAUAAUGCAAUGGCAUGCCAGGGAUUUUUUAACUUGUUCAGUUGUUGCCAGCAAAGAAACUUUUUGGUGCUUUUCAGAAAUCUCCAUGGUAAGUAUCAGCUAUCUCAACAUUAUCAUGUUCAAAAUCCCUUUUUCAAUCUUUUAUUUUUCACACACUAAUCAUUCACCUUGUCUAUGCUAUGCAACAGACACCAAUAUUCUCACCAAAGAUUACAAGAGAAGUGUCAGCACCGCAGCUAACCUUCAAAUCAAUGUGUCGCUUUGUUAAUAUGUAAAUAGAAUGUAUAUAGCUAUUGUGUAAAUCUUUGUUCAACUUGUAAAACUUGGCUCCGUAUGGUCUAUCUUCAACUUAUAAAACUUGGCUCCUUAUCAAAUGGAUGUAAAAACUAUAUGUUCUUGGCAGUGGCGGACCUAGAAUUUUAGGGCCGUGGGUGCUCGCCUUUUAACGACAAACUAUGAGCGUCUAAAAAUGAAAGGCGACGGGAAAACAGAAACUAUUGUGUCGAGGUAAUUAGGACACUGAAGAAAAGGUUGCAAACAUUUAUGCAAGUGAUACUUUUUUUUUUUCUUUUUUACCACAAUUAAGCAAACUAAUUAAAAAGGGAAAAUUAGAAGUCCGAAAAAGCAAAUAAGCAGUAAGAAAGGAAAAGAAAAACCAGCUGGUAAAACUAAAAGCAAGGAAGAAUCUGGCCAAAAAUUUGAGAAGCUAAACGCUCUAAGCAAGGAUUGAUCUCGAAUCUCACGCAAGCAACAACUUUGAUUUCCCCUUUUAAACCAAAGCACCCAGCAGCAUCUUUCUGCAAUGGGUGCUUAAGCAUUUUAUAUAUCCGUUUUGUUGAUUUUUAUAAAUAAAUAUGUAAAGCUUGGGAUGCGGUCAAUGGGUGCCGGAGCACCACUUUGCACUGUGUGGGUCCGCCCCUUUCUUGGUCUGAGUUACUUGAUGCUAUUUUGAAAGAUUUUGCUCUUGAUUUAUUUAGUAACAGCUACAUAAAGCUAACUAU